GCUGUGUUUAUCAUAUAAAGUCUCCUUCCAUUUAAAACCCUCAACACGCACCCCACUGAAGAGACAAAUUUGACAAAUGAACAAAGAACAAAAUAUUGCAUGUUAACAUCAAACGGAGACUGACAUUUCCUUCUUUGUGAAGCAGAAAAGAAACAGAUGGUAAAAUCAGAGGGAAGGAAAAGGAAACAAAUCAGACCGAAAAAAAAACAAGCACACAAACCACAGGUCUGAAGACUCCCUGCAGUGAAACAGCACCCUAACCUGGAGAUUCAUCUCCCUGAGUUUUUCCAAGAUUUACACUUAUUAAUUUUUAAUGACCUAAACAUUACCCUUUACAGUGGUCUGGACUUUGUAAGAUAAAAAAAUGUGCAAAUGUGUUCUUGAAUAUGAUUGCAUUUGUGUAUAUGUUGAUGUUUUAAUCCAUAGUUACAGUCAUUGUCAUUGUUCUUUUAAAGUGAGCCAACUAUUUUUCUCCUCUUGGUGUCAGUGGGAUGAAUGUACACGUAUGCUUUUAUCUCUGAGUGAGUGCAGCGUCCCCAUGCAGCACAGCACACAACAGCAGAUAAAACAUGUUUUAAAAAUAUGAAUAUGUAUUAAUCCCACUAAAGUGUCUUAUAAUAGCAAAAGUCUUAUAAUGCCUGUGAAAAAAAACAUGCUCUAUGAGACAUGAUACACAAUAAUGAGUGUUUUAAUGCAAUCUGCCCUGUGUAGAUGUGAAGUGUUGAGUAGCAUUGUUGUCCACAUGCAAGAUAUAUAAAUUCCUGUCUCUGUCACACAGAAAGUUGGACUAGAUGUUUGUUUUGAAUUUGAAUAUUUUAAGCUCUGGAGACCAAAAUAUUUCCAAAGCAAACACAGUUAUUCUCAUGCUAUCAUUGAAAGUCACCCGUCAGUCUCAUUCUGCCAUUAAGAUUAUUUGCAGUAUG
ensembl:lncRNA